CAACGAUAUACGCAGCUCCAUUUCAUCAUCGCAGUCAUCCUCUUCUUCUCUACUACCACCACCACCAUCAAAUCCUACACGUGAGGGUUCAAGGACAAUUUCAAUAUACGAUUCAUUGUCGUCGUCGUCUUCACUCUGAUUGAUAUCGGAGAAAAUAGCGAGAGAGGAAGAGGAUUUGAAGUCACAGCAGCCGCUAAACGAGAAACUCUGUUCCAGCUCUGGAUCUCGACAUUCGAUGCUUUUGGUUUCCAUG
rnacentral:misc_RNA from 1 species